CUGUACAAGGCUCUGGGGACAGUGCUGGGAGCCUGUAAGAGAGUCCUCCACGUCCAGGAGAAGCUGAUGCAGCACCUGGAGGAAGCAAACGCGGAGGAGCCAUGUGAGGCCCAGGGAAUCAUCUCUCUUCUCAGCCAUGCUGCUGAGAGCAACUUCCAGACAGUCCUGGCCACGCUCACCAUGUUUGCGUCCAGGCUGUACAAAGGCCGCAAUGCGAGGAUUUCCAGGCGCAAGAAGAUGGAGCUGGACAGCACGAGAGCUCAUGC